rnacentral:rRNA from 1 species
UUCCGGUUGAUCCUGCCGGACCUGACUGCUAUCGGAUUGAUACUAAGCCAUGUGAGUCAUUGUAGCAAUACAAGGCAGACGGCUCAGUAACACGUAGUCAAUCUACCCUAUGGACGGGGAUAACCUCGGGAAACUGAGGAUAACACCCGAUAGAUCAUAAUUCCUGGAACGGUUUAUGGUCCAAACGAUUCGUCGCCGUAGGGUGGGACUGCGGCCUAUCAGCUUGUUGGUGAGGUAAUGGCCCACCAAGGCUAUUACAGGUACGGGCUCUGAGAGGAGAAGCCCGGAGAUGGGUACUGAGACACGGACCCAGGCCCUAUGGGGCGCAGCAGGCGAGAAACCUUUGCAAUGUGCGCAAGCACGACAAGGUUAAUCCGAGUGUUUCCUGCUAAAGGAAUCUUUUGUUAGUCGUAAAAUCACUAAUGAAUAAGGGGUGGGCAAGUUCUGGUGUCAGCCGCCGCGGUAAAACCAGCACCUCAAGUGGUCAGGAUGAUUAUUGGGCCUAAAGCAUCCGUAGCCUGUUCUGUAAGUUUCCGGUUAAAUCCAUUAACUCAACUAAUGGGCUGCCGAAAAUACUGCAGAACUAGGGAGUGGGAGAGGUAGACGGUACUCGGUAGGAAGGGGUAAAAUCCUUUGAUCUAUCGAUGACCACCAGUGGCGAAGGCGGUCUACCAGAACACGUUCGACGGUGAGGGAUGAAAGCUGGGGGAGCAAACCGGAUUAGAUACCCGGGUAGUCCCAGCUGUAAACGAUGCAAACUCGGUGAUGCCCUGGCUUGUGGCCAGUGCAGUGCCGCAGGGAAGCCGUUAAGUUUGCCGCCUGGGAAGUACGUACGCAAGUAUGAAACUUAAAGGAAUUGGCGGGGGAGCACCACAAGGGGUGAAGCCUGCGGUUCAAUUGGACUCAACGCCGGU